UCCAUCUUUCUUAUGUUUUUGAAUGGCAGUU
rnacentral:piRNA from 1 species